rnacentral:rRNA from 1 species
UGGGGAAUAUUGCACAAUGGGGGAAACCCUGAUGCAGCGACGCCGCGUGAGCGAAGAAGGCUUUCGAGUCGUAAAGCUCUGUCCUAUGAGAAGAUAAUGACGGUAUCAUAGGAGGAAGCCCUGGCUAAAUACGUGCCAGCAGCCGCGGUAAUACGUAUGGGGCGAGCGUUGUCCGGAUUUACUGGGCGUAAAGGGUGCGUAGGUGGUCUUUCAAGGCGGUGGUUAAAGGCUACGGCUCAACCGUAGUUAGCCUCCGAAACUGGAAGACUUGAGUGCAGGAGAGGAAAGUGGAAAUCCCAGUGUAGCGAUGAAAUGCGUAGAUAUUGGGAGGAACACCAGUAGCGAAGGCGGCUAUCUGGACUGCAACUGACACUGAGGCACGAAAGCGUGGGUAGCAAACAGG